AUUUUUAGACCUGGUUAUGAGGUAAAAUUACAAUAGUUAAAUCUUUUAUCUUUAUGUUGCCUGAUCUGAAGUCGGGUUUCUUUUCAAGCAUGUCUAACAUCUACAGGGAAUUAUUGAGAAAAAUAAUGUAAGGAGAUUUUUUGUGGUACAUGUGGAUGAACAUAUAGUCGGUUAUUAUCUGCUGCCCUUCUUUUAUUAUAUAUGUGGCUCAUUGUAUGUAGGCUUAUCUAUGCAUUAUUAUUUGAUGCUCUAUCAUGUUAGUUUCCUUGGUCUGGUUUUUGAGCCGUGCCAUAAUUUUUUUCUUGCUGGCAGCAAUAGCGGGAGUGCCAUAUUGGACAAAGGAAGAGGAUGAGAAGAAAUGAGGCUUGGGCGUGAGUGGGUGCUGGGUGGCGGCGGCCUUCCACUACCUGCCCCAUGGCACCUCACUCUACCGCGGUGGCAAGUAUGAUUGACUUCCACAACUCCAGCCUCUAUGUGCAUGUAUAUACGCCACCGACCACGAACACUAGAUUUAGCUUGCUUGUAUAAUAUAAUGUGACUUAUGCACUGUCCUCUCAUUUAUUUACAUAUAAUGGAGAUUUCAAAUAUGUUGUUAUGCUGGAGGACGAGUCUCCUUAGGCCAGCAACAGUGGGGAGCUACAAAAUUACCUUACCUGAUCUGAACUGUGAGCACCUGAUGAUUAUCUGAACUGUGAGCACCUGAUGAUUUUGCGUGUGCAAAUAAAUGGUGGUCAAAAUAAUACUUUUGGUUGUGACUUACUAUUCCUUAGCCUAUAUGUAUGUCUUAGUUAAACUUGAAUCAUUGGUUUCUCCUAUGAUGCUAUGUGAUUCAGUAAUAAAUUAAUAGACUUGAAUAUUUCUUGUUCGGAUCAGUCUUGUGUGGAAGAUAUGACCUUCUUUGAAUACUCUGCUCAUUAUAUGUUGCUCAAGGGUUCCCCUUCAUAGCUCUUGUUCUUGUUUUUAUUUAUCUAAGAAACAUCUUGCAUGCUACAAAAGUCAUAUUAGCUAAACUUGCCUCGUAGUAGUCUCCAUAAAAGCGGUUGUAUUUUGAUUUUAAAUCUAUUUGUUUGCUGCAGCGGAAUGCUCAUCACCUCGUAGGGAAGAUUUGAACCAAGUGACCGCAAGGAUUGUUUGACAAUGUGUAGGUCAAUCUCACCCUUGUGGAGAAAUACUAUUUUUUCUCCAGAUUUAGCCUACACUGUCCAGGUUGUAUGCUUCUUCUGAGAUCCCAUCAAGGUAAUGCUCUUCCCCCACAUGUUGUUCUUGCAAGGAAAGUAUAAACAAGAUACAAGUGAGUGUUUAUGGGGUUGCUUGUUCGUAUGAUUUGUUCAUGUGCUUCAUGUUAUAAUUCCAUUCAAGUAAAGACCAAAGAAACAAGCUACCCUCUUUACUAUUGAAGUUUUGCAACCAUGUUAAUAGUUAAUGCAAAUUGCUGGACUCUUCUGGGAAGAUAAUUUCAAUAGUUUAUUUCUGUAACUACUUGUUAGCCUUUUCUUGUUCAACAAUAAAGGUUGAGAUCCCUACAAGAAAUGGUUCUGAUUGGUACUCCUUAGAUUUAAACUAAUGAAUUAUGUUAAGUUUUAUAUAUGAGGUUGUGUUUCUGCCAUGUACACUGUGUGUGCAUGUGUUGUUUGUGUCGAGGUUAACUUAUAGUUUGCAAUCAGUUUGGUUUGGUUUUUUAUGAGCUGUGUUGUGUUGUGUUGUGCUGCUCAUGGUUGUGUUGUUUAUUGUAUUGUGUUAAAGGUGCAUGAUUCACAUAUCUUGAUCCUGGAAGUUAUUGAUGUGAGCUUUUUCUGCACAAAGUGUUGAGAGCUACAUAGGAAUAAUCUUGCAAGUCCUGAAAUUUCUAUGGGAGCAUGUCUUAAUGUUUUGUGUUUCUAUUCAUUGAUGUGAACUCUUAAGUCUCACUGGUGAAUGUAAAACCACCAUUUGUCUUUCGUUUGCUCAUAUUUUGUAUGCUUUCUUAUGUUUGAUUAUUCCAAUUACCAGGAUGGUCUGAAGCACUCAGAACAAGCGGAGGGUAGGAGGGCACUAGAAGCUUUGUUUCUCAUUGAUGUUAUGUGUGAUCAACUAAAACUUGUGCUUCUCAUCCAAUCUUUGUAGAACUAUGUUGUUGUGCGCUUGUGCACUUGUUGGUUCCUUUUGUUGUGCACUUGCACUGGUAGAACUACUUUUCUUUGCACUUUUAGAAUUAUUUUGAUGUGCACUUGUUGGGCCUUGAACCUUGGAUGUGUAGAGGAGUCGAUGGAUGAUGUAUUUUAUUUCAUGUGAUUUGCUACUUGUAGGAGAUAUGCCCUAGAGGCAAUAAUAAAUGAUAUUAUUUAUCUCCGAGUUCAUAAUUA
rnacentral:lncRNA from 1 species